AGCACUUGUGUGUGUUUUUGUUAAACUUUUGGACAAAGACUUGUGGACAAGUGCAAAAAAUAAAUCCUCUUUUGCAACCCAGAACUCAUUGUUCAGUAUGAGUUUUGAUACAUACAAGCAGGUAUACU
rnacentral:snoRNA from 17 species